rnacentral:rRNA from 1 species
GAGCCUUCACUUAUAAACACUAGUCUAUGAAUGUAAAAUUUUUAUAACAAAUAAAAACUUUCAACAACGGAUCUCUUGGCUCUCGCAUCGAUGAAGAACGCAGCGAAAUGCGAUACGUAAUGUGAAUUGCAGAAUUCAGUGAAUCAUCGAAUCUUUGAACGCAUCUUGCGCUCUCUGGUAUUCCGGAGAGCAUGUCUGUUUGAGUGUCAUGAAUUCUUCAACCCAAUCUUUUCUUGUAAUCGAUUGGUGUUUGGAUUCUGAGCGCUGCUGGCUUCGGCCUAGCUCGUUCGUAAUACAUUAGCAUCCCUAAUACAAGUUUGGAUUGACUUGGCGUAAUAGACUAUUCGCUAAGGAUUCGGUGGAAACAUCGAGCCAACUUCAUUAAGCAAGCUCCUAAUUUAAAAGUCUACCUUUUGAUUAGAUCUCAAAUCAGGCAGGAUUACCCGCUGAACUUAAGCAUAUCAAUAAGCGGAGGAGAGGAUCAUUAUUGAAAACAAGGGUGUCCAAUUUAACUUGGAACCCGACCUUCUCAAUUCUAACUUUGUGCAUCUGUAUAAUGGCGAGCA